AUAUUUAACAAUUCUUAUAAUAUAAAUAAUAAAAUUAAUUAAAACAUUAAUAGAUUUAGUAAAGGAGAUUAAAACUUAUUUAUUUUGCUAUUUUAAGUACUGUGAAGGAAGUUUAUAAAUAAUGUUAUAAAAAAUUUGUACUUUUUGCAUUAUGGUCUAACUAGAUAAAAUUUCAAAAGAAGGUUCUAGAAAUCAAAUGAGCUAUUCUUAAUCAGACUCAUAGGUCUUAAAGGUUAAUUGUAACAAAAAUUUCUUAAGAACUAAGAAUAGAAAUAAUAUGUUAUUCGCAUUUGAUGAUAGCUAGUUUUCUUCUAAAAGUAUAAAAGUACUUCGGGCUUAUAUAUUAUAGUAUACUCAACUAUAAGGUAAUAAGCUUAGACAUAUUUUUAAGUUUAACCUUAAAAACAACUUUAAGUCUUAUAUAAAAUUUAUGUUUAAACUAUGAGCUUGAUAAUGGCUAUUACAAUUAAUUUUGUUACAAUUACAUUUAUAGAUAAAAAUAUAAUAAAUCUAUUUAUCCGGAGAAGAAUAAUCUUAUAAACAAUUAAAUAAGUUAUUUUAAUGUUAGAAUGAGUAUUAGAUAUAUGCUGAUUUUAAAAUAUCAUGCUUUAAAACAAAUAUGGUAUAAUAAUACUAAAUUAUAAAAAGGAACUCAGCAAACAAGUGUUCUGUCUGUUUAUCAAAAACAUGGCUUUAUGAAUUAAAAUUAAUGUAAAGUUAGACCUGCCCAGUGAAUAUUUUUAACGGCCGCAGUACCCUAACUGUGCAAAGGUAGCGUAAUAAUUUGCCUUAUAAUUUAAGGCUAAAUGAAUGGUUUAACAAGAAUACAGCUGUCUCUUUAUAACUAAAUAGAAUUUUAUCUUUGAGUGAAAAAGCUCAAAUAUAAUUAAAAGACAAGAAGACCCUGUCGAGCUUUAAAAUCUUAAAUUUAUAAAUUACUAAUUUAUAUAAUCUAUGAGACUUUAGUUGGGGCAACUAAAAAGGUAACCUUUUAAAUAAUAUAAACUAACUAGUUAUGAUCCAGCUAUGCUGACUGAGGAAAUAGUUACCGGAGGGAUAACAGCAUUAUCUUUUUUACGAGUUCUUAUUAAAAAAAGGUUUGUGACCUCGAUGUUGGAUCAGAAUAUCCUAAAGAUGAAAAAGUCUUUAAGGGUUAGUCUGUUCGACUAUUAAAAUUCUACGUGAUCUGAGUUCAGACCGGCGCGAGCUAGGUCAGUUUCUAUCUUUAAUUUAUAAAUACGCCUAGUACGAAAGGAUUGGCGUAUUUCAUUAUAAAUGUUUUUUUUGAAGUAAUUUAAAAAAUUUAUA
rnacentral:rRNA from 1 species